rnacentral:SRP_RNA from 2 species
GCCAGGCGUGGUGGCGUGCACCUGUAGUCCCAGCUACUUGGGAGGCUGAGGCAGGAGAAUCGCUUGAACCUGGGAGGCUGAGGUUGCAGUGAGCCAAGAUCAUGCCACUGCACUCCAGCCUGGGUGACAGAGCGAGACUCCGUCUCAA